CAGCCGCCGCGGUAAUACCAGCUCUCCGGGUGGUGUGGACGUUUAUUGGGCCUAAAGCAUCCGUAGCUGGCUGAACAAGUCCCCUGUUAAACCCACCGAUUUAAUCGUUGGCGUGCGGGGGAUACUGCUUGGCUAGGGGACGAGAGAGGCAGACGGUAUUCCCGGGGUAGGGGUGAAAUCCUAUAAUCCCGAGAAGACCACCAGUGGCGAAGGCUGUCUGCUAGAACGCGCCCGACGGUGAGGGAUGAAAGCUGGGGGAGCGAACCGGAUUAGAUACCCGGGUAGUCCCAGCUGUAAACGAUGCAGGCUAGGUGUUUGGACGGCCACGUGCCGUUCUAGUGCCGCAGGGAAGCUGUUAAGUCUGCCGCCUGGGGAGUACGAUCGCAAGGUUGAAACUUAAAGGAAUUGGCGGGGGAGCACA
rnacentral:rRNA from 1 species